rnacentral:rRNA from 1 species
AUUGAACGCUGGCGGCAGGCUUAACACAUGCAAGUCGAGCGGGGUGAUGGUGCUUGCACUAUCACUUAGCGGCGGACGGGUGAGUAAUGCUUAGGAAUCUGCCUAUUAGUGGGGGACAACAUCUCGAAAGGGAUGCUAAUACCGCAUACGUCCUACGGGAGAAAGCAGGGGAUCACUUGUGACCUUGCGCUAAUAGAUGAGCCUAAGUCGGAUUAGCUAGUUGGUGGGGUAAAGGCCUACCAAGGCGACGAUCUGUAGCGGGUCUGAGAGGAUGAUCCGCGACACUGGGACUGGGACACGGCCCAGACUCCUACGGGAGGCAGCAGUGGGGAAGAUUGGACAAUGGGGGGAACCCUGAUCCAGCCAUGCCGCGUGUGUGAAGAAGGCCUUAUGGUUGUAAAGCACUUUAAGCGAGGAGGAGGCUCUUUUGGUUAAUACCCAAGAUGAGUGGACGUUACUCGCAGAAUAAGCACCGGCUAACUCUGUGCCAGCCGCCGCCGUAA